rnacentral:RNase_P_RNA from 1 species
CGCUCAAGGUGUUCCACCGCGCCAGUCUUCGGGCUGGUGAGGAAAGUCCGGACAGCAGAGGGUACCGUACUUCUUGAAAGGGAAGGCGCCCGCAAGGGUGACAGACAGUGCUUCAGAAAUUCAGACCGCCGAUGGCCCUCGGGCACAGGCAAGGGUGAGAAGGUGGGGUAAGAGCCCACCAGCGUGUUGGGUGACCGCACGGCUUGGGUAAACCUUUCGGGCUGCAAGACCAUGUAUACCAGUGUUUGAGGACGACCCGUCCGAUGCUGGAGGGUAGGUUGCGUUAGAUCAAUGGUGGAAAGUCCCUCGGGACUACAGAAUCCGGCUUACAGCCUUGACGUCCC